rnacentral:rRNA from 1 species
GGAUUCCCCUAGUAACUGCGAGUGAAGAGGGAAAAGCUCAAAUUUAAAAUCUGACAGUCUUUGGCUGUCCGAGUUGUAAAAUARAGAAGUGUUAUCCGCUCAAGCCUGUGCAAAAGUCUCUUGGAAAAGGGCAUCAUAGAGGGUGACAAUCCCGUCUUUGGCACAGAUCACUUGCGCUUUUGUGAUGCGCUCUCGAUGAGUCGAGUUGUUUGGGAAUGCAGCUCCAAAUGGGUGGUAAAUUCCAUCUAAAGCUAAAUAUGGGCGAGAAACCGAUAGCGCACAAGUACCGUGAGGGAAAGAUGAAAAGAACUUUGAAAAGAGAGUUAAACAGUACGUGAAAUUGUUGAAAGGGAAACGCUUGAAGUCAGUCRUAUCCUUCAGAAUCAACCUAACCUUUGGCUGGGUAUAUUUUUUGUUGGAUGGGUCAGCAUCAAUUUUGAUUAUUGGAUAAAGGACUUGGGAAUGUGGCAUCUUUAGAUGUGUUAUAGCCCUUGUUUGUAUACAAUGAUUGGGAUUGAGGAACUCAGUGUGACUUUUGGUCUGGGGGUAUUUAUUACCUCACACACGCACUUAGGAUGCUGGCAUAAUGGCUUUAAUCGACCCGUCUUGAAACACGGACCAAGGAGUCUAACAUACAUGCAAGUGUUUGGGUGAAAAACUCAAGCGCGUAAUGAAAGUGAAAGUUGAGAACCCUGUCGUGGGGUGCACCGACGCCCGGUCUUGACCUUUUGUGACGGACCUGCGGUAGAGCAUGUAUGUUGGGACCCGAAGAUGGUGAACUAUGCCUGAAUAGGGUGAAGCCAGAGGAAACUCUGGUGGAAGCUCGUAGCGAUUCUGACGUGCAAAUCGAUCGUC